UACGGAGGGGGCUAGCGUUGUUCGGAAUUACUGGGCGUAAAGCGCGCGUAGGCGGAUCUGCAAGUCGGGGGUGAAAUCCCGAGGCUCAACCUCGGAACUGCCUUCGAUACUGCGGGUCUCGAGUCCGGGAGAGGUGAGUGGAAUUCCUAGUGUAGAGGUGAAAUUCGUAGAUAUUAGGAAGAACACCAGUGGCGAAGGCGGCUCACUGGCCCGGUAC
rnacentral:rRNA from 1 species